rnacentral:sRNA from 1 species
UAGCUUGAUAUUAAAAUGGCGGAUGUCUCAAGUAAUGACCGAAAAAUAAAGGUUACUAAAAACGGGAAAGUGGUAAAAAAACGCCUACGAAAUCCAGAAGAAUGGCACAAGCAAAAACAGAAACGUUUAAGAAUAGCUGGAUUAGAAUACAUAAACGCAAACGGAAAAGUGGUCCCUCCAAAGCAGCCCGGCCCUGACUGCAACUGUCGUCGAAAAUGUUUCCAAAAAGUGCCAGAGGAUGUUCGGUUGAAGACCUUCCAAGGUUUCUAUUCAAUGAAAACACACGACGAACAAAACGCUUAUUUAUUUGGCCUUAUGAGACAGGUUGAUGUGAAAAGAAAAAGAGUCAAGUCCAGCAGUCGCCGAACUUGUACAUUUGAAUAUUUUGUGAGAGUCAAAGGAAGAGAAACACAAGUAUGUCAGACUGCUUUCAAAAACAUCCAUGCAAUCACAGAACGAAAGGUCAGAGUACUCUGCAAGAAAAUGGAUGAUGGUGUCAUGUUUCCCAGUGACAACAGAGGGAAGAACAGUCACCGCAGGUCGGGGUGAGGUGCGUUUACCAACUGAAGUCAUUGAUCAAAUAAAAAACCACAUAUACUCCAUUGUUCACACACACAGACUGAAAGAUUUUAUCAGAUUGGAUAAGAUAGCUGGAUUAGAAAUAAAUAUAUCCAAAAUGUGGAAGGAUUACAUCAAGACUUAUGAUCCUGAAAAUAUCACUGCCACAUUGCCAAAAUCCAAGAGGAGUACUGAUGUGGUGCAGCAACAAGAGCCUCUCCAGCAACAGCAGCCACCCCCACCACAGGAGACAUUUGCACCUAUAGCAUACCCGGGCAGUGGGCAUCUUGUGAACAUUGCAGAAAAUUAUUUCCAGAAUCAAUACCAAACUACUGCCACACUGGCUACUGGCACCACAACUAACUUUUAUCAAGCACCCAAUGCUGGACAGAGCAUGGGCAUAUUGCUCCAGCCAACUACACAAAGGCCUACACAGCCCGCCACUGCAUACAUUGUGCUUCAAACAAAGCCUGAACCCCAACAGAACACAACCAUUACAAUAGAUAACACAGCAUUCAACCAAAGCACAGAAAUAAUACUUGAGCCAGAGAAGAAAAAAGUCAAAAAGGAAAGAAAGAGGGGUCCUUUAGUGAAGCAGUGGAGAUACAGUAAUAUAUUCCAUGAUGAAAUCAAUGGAGCAGCAUUAGCCGCCAUUAAAACAAGGCUUGGCAUGUACUAUGCGGAGAGUGAUGCAGCUAGGAAGCGUGUGAAGCAGGCUCGGCCUACUGAGGCAGUCCAAACACAAACACCUGCUGAACAAAUCCCACAACUGGGACACACAGUGGCUAUAUACACUCAUAGACAUAACUGAAAGAACACAGUGAAGUGAAUGGUAUAAUCAAAAUGGAAAUCAAGUGAUGCUAGUUUUAUAUUGUGACAUAUUUUAUGGUAUGUAACCAAGAGAGAUAAAUGGUGUAGCAGGACACAUUGUCCAGUGACAUGUCAACAAUAUUGUAAUGAAAUCUUAAUAAUCAUUAACAUAUAGGAUCAAUUCAAUGAAAUAAUACUUAUCAAAUGUAAUGAAAUAAUAGUAAUAUUGUAAUCUUUUAGGAGACAUCAGUUCUUAUAAUUGCAUAUUAUCUAUACAUGUAGAAAAUAAACACCUGUAAUCAAAAUGUCUUCAUACUUAACUAAUGCAUCUGCAUGCUAGAGCAAUUUUACUUAUGUAUUUUUUAUUAUUGUAUGUUUUUAUUUAAGGAAUCUAAAUUAUUUUAUAUAUGAUUUCAUUGAUGUGUAUAUUCUUGUUAUUAAUUAUAUAAUUGUGUUGUGUCCAGAACAAAGAAUCCUAUGAGAAAUAUAAGACUAAAAUUCAUUAACAUAAUUAAAUUUUCUGUGUAUGGAGGCUAGGUGAGAUGAAAGAUGCGUUUUUGGAUUAAUUAUUUUACUAUUUUUACCGACAGCAUUUAAUGACACAAAAUAAAUAUUAUGAGAUAAGCUGUACAAACCUUUGAGCCUCGAGGCCCCUUCUUUGAUCGCAAGGUCGUCGGCAGCCCACGUCGCCAUCGUCUUUUGCCACCUCUGUCUAUAUUCUAGAGUUAUAACUCUGGCAUAUAUGCCACAGUGGUGGUAAGCCGUAACUCAGGAAUAAACAUGCGGUAAAUUGUUGCAUGAACUAUGUACUAUGUAUUUUCUGUCGUUAAAAUCUGCUCUUGCAUAUAAAUGCAUUAUGCUCCUUUCCACUACUGAUAAAAUCAACUCGAAUCUUAUUAGUUUAGUUUUAGAUAGCUGUCGUAGGUAUAAUUUUAUUAAUGUUUGGCUUUGAGUAGCUAUGUUAAUCUAUAGACAUCAACCCGUGUUUUAAAACUUUUACCGAAUGAAAUAAAAUUAAUAUGGAUUAAUUACAGAGUACAAUAAAAUACUAUUUAGUAAAA